rnacentral:tRNA from 1 species
GGAUUUGCAGUCCUCUGCCUUACCACUUGGCCAUAUCGCCUUCUAUUCAUUAGAAUUUUUAUAA